rnacentral:rRNA from 1 species
UACGUAGGGUGCAAGCGUUACUCGGAAUUACUGGGCGUAAAGCGUGCGCAGGCGGUUAUGCAAGACAGAUGUGAAAUCCCCGGGCUCAACCUGGGAACUGCAUUUGUGACUGCAUGGCUAGAGUACGGUAGAGGGGGAUGGAAUUCCGCGUGUAGCAGUGAAAUGCGUAGAUAUGCGGAGGAACACCGAUGGCGAAGGCAAUCCCCUGGACCUGUACUGACGCUCAUGCACGAAAGCUGGGGGAGCGAACAGG